GAUGAACGCUGGCGGCGUGCCUAAUACAUGCAAGUCGAGCGAACAGACGAGGAGCUUGCUCCUCUGACGUUAGCGGCGGACGGGUGAGUAACACGUGGAUAACCUACCUAUAAGACUGGGAUAACUUCGGGAAACCGGAGCUAAUACCGGAUAAUAUAUUGAACCGCAUGGUUCAAUAGUGAAAGACGGUUUUGCUGUCACUUAUAGAUGGAUCCGCGCCGCAUUAGCUAGUUGGUAAGGUAACGGCUUACCAAGGCAACGAUGCGUAGCCGACCUGAGAGGGUGAUCGGCACACUGGAACUGAGACACGGUCCAGACUCCUACGGGAGGCAGCAGUAGGGAAUCUUCCGCAAUGGGCGAAAGCCUGACGGAGCAACGCCGCGUGAGUGAUGAAGGUCUUCGGAUCGUAAAACUCUGUUAUUAGGGAAGAACAAAUGUGUAAGUAACUAUGCACGUCUUGACGGUACCUAAUCAGAAAGCCACGGCUAACUACGUG
rnacentral:rRNA from 1 species